rnacentral:rRNA from 1 species
AAAUUGAAGAGUUUGAUCAUGGCUCAGAUUGAACGCUGGCGGCAGGCCUAACACAUGCAAGUCGAACGGUAACAGGAAGCAGCUUGCUGCUUCGCUGACGAGUGGCGGACGGGUGAGUAAUGUCUGGGAAACUGCCUGAUGGAGGGGGAUAACUACUGGAAACGGUGGCUAAUACCGCAUAACGUCGCAAGACCAAAGAGGGGGACCUUCGGGCCUCUUGCCAUCAGAUGUGCCCAGAUGGGAUUAGCUAGUUGGUGAGGUAACGGCUCACCAAGGCG